rnacentral:tRNA from 1 species
AUUUAAAUAGCUUAUUUGAAAGCGUGAUAUUGAAGUUAUCAAGAUGAGUGUUUCACUCUUUAAAUA